GUGCAAAGCAGCAGCACUGCCUCCCACGGCUUACCAGAAAAGCAGAUAAAGUCAAGAUGAUCACAGUGAGGCUUGAAGAGGCAAAAUGACUGGUACAAGAGCACAAAGAUGAAUCAUAAAAUAGAAGUGGAUGUUAAAAAAUGCUACAACAAAAUGUCAACGUCUGGUGCUAGUCACUUGAGAAUACAAAGAUGAGUAAGUCAUGAAAUCUACCUUCAAGGAACUCAUAGUUCAGUAGAGAAGAUAGGCUUGUGA